rnacentral:rRNA from 1 species
CUGACCGUGCAAAGGUAGCGUAAUCACUUGUCUUUUAAAUGGAGACCUGUAUGAAUGGCAUAACGAGGGCUUAACUGUCUCCUUUUUCAAGUCAAUGAAAUUGAUCCCCCCGUGCAGAAGCGGGGAUAGGACCAUAAGACGAGAAGACCCUGUGGAGCUUAAGACACUAAAGCAGCCCAUGUUAAAACACCCUUAGAAGGACUAAACCUAGUGAACCCUGCCCUGAUGUCUUUGGUUGGGGCGACCACGGGGAGAUAUAGAACCCCCGCGCGGGAGGAGAACCCUUUCUUCCUUACAACCAAGAGCCCCCGCUCUAAUAAACAGAAUUUCUGACCUACAUAGAUCCGGCAAAGCCGAUCAACGGACCGAGUUACCCCAGGGAUAACAGCGCAAUCCCCUUCUAGAGCCCAUAUCGACAAGGGGGCUUACGACCUCGAUGUUGGAUCAGGACAUCCUAAUGGUGCAGCCGCUAUUAAGGGUUCGUUUGUUCACGAUUAAAGUCCUACGUGAUCUGAGUUCAGACCGGAG